CGCAGUAGGGUAUACCUACGCCAUUUAUAAGCCGUCUGGACGCUGAGCUGCACAACAGUGCAUUCGCUCGUCGUCUAUGUGGAAACGUAACUGAAGCUACGAACGAAGCUCUUCGAGUAACACCGAAAAGGAACGAGCUACGUAGUUCGUGUCGCGUCUCACGCAUCUAGGCGGGAGGGUUAUGCGUUUUCUGUUCACCGAUUAUAUUUAGCUUCUCUUCUCCGACUCACAGAGCGGCAAAAUAGUCGAAUAAAAUCACAGAGCUGACAAUUAACAAUAUAAUUGAACCCCGUAGUCAUCGAAGCGAUCCUAAAGCUAGUAUACGAACGGUAGUCACUGGGUGUCCAUUAAAUAACAAUCCGACUCUAGGUUAUACAGAAUGUUUAUUCCACGCUGGAUAACGAGAACAGACAGUUUACGUAACGUCCAGCGGGCGACAGGGCACCGGCGAUGGCUUAGGAUCUAUCCUGCCGUCUCGACACUGCAAAUGGGAAAGCACGAAGCCGUAUACCGAGCGCAGCGGGUCAAUGAAACGUGAAAAGAAAAGGUAUAGAAGCCAAACUCUCGGAAGUAAAUCGCACUGAGAUACUUUUGAGAUCGGCUCUUGCCGUUAGACCAUUAUGUUGUUAACCUACUGCGCUGAAACUUUAUUGUUUUACCUAAUAUACAUAUAAGUGCUCUUAUUUAUAUAUAUAUAUAUAAUUAUAUAGUCCGUCAUACCACACAACAUCGCAUUACGGAUCCGAGAAGCAUAGCGGACUUUAAACACGUGUUGCUCAUCCGGUUAGCUAGAAAAACUUGUCGAUCCCCGACGAGGCCUGGUCGCUACACAUUUACUCAUGCUCUUACGUCUACUUACCGUAUGUACUCAAGAGACCUGCAGGACCUUCAUACUGAGCUGAGAACCAGUCUGCAGUAGCCGGAAACACUCCCAUCGUUUACGUAUAAGUUCCCUGCCUUAAAGGUUAAUGGAGAGGUGGGUCACCGGUUCGUUCGUGACGGGACGGAUGAGACACUCCUUGAGUGAUUUAUCAUUUAAAAUUACAGUCUCACAUUGUUCAUUAAUAUAGGAUACGCGUAUACUAUGUAUACGUAGCAGAUCUGUAAUUAUUAUGUAGAGAGAGAGUGCGAGAGAGAAAGAGAAAAUCGCAGAAGCCCGUAGUAUUAUACUUUAUUAAAUAGCGGUAUCGCGAGGACAGACCGGAAGCGUGCUCGCCCACUACCGGAACCGAGGUCUUUCACAAUCCUCUUGCUGGGACCAUAACUGUGAUACCUACGUUACAUCGUCAGGCCUAGGUACGUGCUUAUACGUAUACAGUAUGUACAUACAUGCAGUGACAGAAUAUCCUUCUGGCUAUGGACACGAAGCGAUCGCCAUGAAUCACGAUAAUGCACUAGAAAGAAUGCAAUGCUCUGCGACCUUUAUAAUCCACGUUACGAUAAACGCCAAUAACACGCCUUAGUUGCCACGCUAAGAAUAAUAAACUACCGGCCUAGGAACUGUUUAGCUAUAAAUUUUCGCACAGAUGCGAUUUCAUAACGAGGACUGUAACGCCUUCUUGACUUCGCUCGUGAAAUUCGAUAGAGUUUCGCAAGAGGCUUCUGAUGGCUUCCAUGAUAAGAAAAUAUUCCACUGGUACCAAUUUCUUUAUAGAAUUUUCGCAGGUGCUCUAUUAGAUGAAUUGUAUAGUUAUCCGUAUAUAUAAAUGUAUACCAUCUGUAGUUAUUCCUCUUUUAGACGCGUACCAGGGGGUAAAAGACGCUCUUGCUAAUAUAACCUAUUUCUGGAGCCUCGUGGAAGAGUAUUGCUCCCUGUGGGAGCUGCUGUAGUCAGCUAGAAGUUUGCGUGGGCUGCAGUUGUCCAGUAUAAUAAGAUGCAAGUCUCUGACGUAAGACUUUCACCCCCGAGGCCUUCUGCCAGUUAUCAGCCCACCGUUGCGUUACGUGGAUAUUCGCUUCUUAUAAUCUUAUCCAAUAAUUAUGUAAUCAAAUAAAACACCACGGAGAUCAGAGCCCGGGUUGAACUUUACGCUGAAAUGCAGUCGGCGAUCGGUUCUAUCUCUUCGCAAGUAUAGUAGACUCGUGAGAAGCCGGAUAAAUAUUGACCUAUACACGGUGUCCGGAAAGUCAUGCCGUACGUGACGUAAGGCUCUGUUUACAUGGAUGCACGUUUAUGUGCAUACCUGCAGGCUAGAGACAGGAAAUAACGGGUGUUACAAAAGGAACUUGAAGCUGCGCACGCAGAGUGCCAACCUUCUCCAUUCACAGUGUGUCCGUUACGUGUAUUGUAUGUAUUUUUAUUUACAUAUUUUAUAUAUAGUAUCGGUAGCACUUCCGUUCACUCGAUACUUCUCGUUAUCAGAAUGAUUUUUCAUAAUUUAUAUUAUGCUAUCGUAAUAUCAAAUAUACCGUGUGACCUUUAUUGGUGUGCUUAAAAUAUGACGAAAUUCAUUUAUUAUUCGCUUAAUUAUUCGCCUACGACUAACGCCUACUAUGGAAAAAUGGGACGAGAACGAAUGGAGCUAAUUGUUGCUAGAUCUUCGCUUGUUUCUAUAUCUACGCAUCUACGUGCAAAUGAAAUAUACGUAUUAACCUUGAAAAAUGCAACGACGCGUGCAUAUUACGUAUCACACCAUGUAUGUACAUACAUGUAAUAAGAUAAGAUCAAUAAUAUUUUAUCACCUUUAAUUAAGACGACCGAUAAUACAACAACCUUUUAUAAGCCAGUUGAGUUUUCUUGGAGUUAAAAAAAAUAUCUUAAAGACAAAUGAAUAGACAGUAACUGCGGUACUGUUAUUUUAAAUUAUAUAGAUGCAAACUUCGACGUAACAUAAUCAUAACAAUAGUGUAAAUGCUAUACGUUGUUGCUGAUAAUAAAUUAAUUUUUUUUAAAUUA